rnacentral:rRNA from 2 species
CUGCUCAGUAACACGUGGACAACCUGCCCUUAGGUUGGGUAUAAACCCGGGAAACUGGGUAUAAUACCCGAUAGGUCUCGAUUGCUGGAAUGCAUCGAGAUUUAAAGCUCCGGCGCCUAAGGAUGGGUCUGCGGCCUAUCAGGUAGUAGUGGGUGUAGCGUACCUACUAGCCUACGACGGGUACGGGUUGUGAGAGCAAGAGCCCGGAGAUGGAUUCUGAGACACGAAUCCAGGCCCUACGGGGUGCAGCAGGCGCGAAAACUUUACAAUGCUGGCAACAGCGAUAAGGGAACCUCGAGUGCCAGGUUACAAAUCUGGCUGUCGAGAUGCCUAAAAAGCAUUUCAUAGCAAGGGCCGGGCAAGACCGGUGCCAGCCGCCGCGGUAACACCGGCGGCUCGAGUGGUAACCGUUAUUAUUGGGUCUAAAGGGUCUGUAGCCGGCCGGAUAAGUCUCUUGAGAAAUCUGGCAGCUUAACUGUCAGGCUUUCAGGAGAUACUGUCUGGCUCGAGGCCGGGAGAGGUGAGAGGUACUUCAGGGGUAGGGGUGAAAUCUUGUAAUCCUUGAAGGACCACCAGUGGCGAAGGCGUCUCACCAGAACGGACCUGACGGCAAGGGACGAAAGCUAGGGGCACGAACCGGAUUAGAUACCCGGGUAGUCCUAGCCGUAAACGAUACUCGCUAGGUGUCGGCCACGGUGCGACCGUUGUCGGUGCCGUAGGGAAGCCGUGAAGCGAGCCACCUGGGAAGUACGGCCGCAAGGCUGAAACUUAAAGGAAUUGGCGGGGGAGCAC